rnacentral:sRNA from 1 species
CCCUGAAGCCAACCUUGACAGAGUGGACCAGCGCCAGGAAACCAAGGCAGCACAGAUUCAGGUCAGCCCAGGAGCCUGAAGUCAUAUCCAAGAGGCUGCCAUGAAAUGAGGAGACAUCUUGGCCACGGGAUUCUUUUCCCUUAAGGCAAAGGACUCUGGGUGUCCUUCACUCCUAAACCAAGCCUCCUUUGCUGGAAGUUCUGCACCCUUCCUGGGCAUCCUGGGAGCAUGGCAUUGGCAUUAGCUGAUACUCGGAUGCCUUUUGCCUGGAUCAGCCAAAAACCCACAGGUAGGGCUGCUGCCUCUACCAGGAGACCAGAAGCCUGACAAGCUAAGGAUGCUCCGUCUCCUCAGACAAGAAGGAUGCUGGGCGAGCUCAGUACAGAACAGGAGUCACAGCCAGAGUUGCCACCAAGUGUACUUUAUUGACUCCACUGUGGACAGAUAUACGAAGG